rnacentral:rRNA from 1 species
AGAGUUUGAUCAUGGCUCAGGAUGAACGCUAGCUACAGGCUUAACACAUGCAAGUCGAGGGGAAACGACAUCGAAAGCUUGCUUUUGAUGGGCGUCGACCGGCGCACGGGUGAGUAACGCGUAUCCAACCUGCCCACCACUUGGGGAUAACCUUGCGAAAGUAAGACUAAUACCCAAUGACGUCUCUAGAAGACAUCUGAAAGAGAUUAAAGAUUUAUCGGUGAUGGAUGGGGAUGCGCCUGAUUAGCUUGUUGGCGGGGUAACGGCCCACCAAGGCGGACGAUCGAGUAGGGGUUCUGAGAGGAAGGUCCCCCACAUUGGAACUGAGACACGGUCCAAACUCCUACGGGAGGCA